rnacentral:rRNA from 1 species
GUUGUAUGGUUAAGUGACUAAGCGUACACGGUGGAUGCCUUGGCAGUUGGAGGCGAUGAAGGACGUAUUAACUUGCGAUAAGCCUAGUCAAGCUAGUAAAAAGCGCUUGAGACUAGGAUUUCCGAAUGGGGAAACCCACCUGCUUGCAGGUAUCUUACACUGAAUACAUAGGUGUAAGAGGCGAACGCGGAGAACUGAAACAUCUAAGUACCCGUAGGAACAGAAAUCAACCGAGAUUCCGGAAGUAGCGGCGAGCGAAACCGGACCAGCCCUUAAGCUUAUUAUGUGUUAGUGGAACAUUCUGGAAAGUUUGACGAUACAGGGUGAUAGUCCCGUACACGAAAAUGCAUCUUAAGUGAAAUCGAGUAGGUCGGAGCACGUGAAACUUUGACUGAAUAUAGGUGGACCAUCAUCUAAGGCUAAAUACUCCCAACUGACCGAUAGUGAACCAGUACCGUGAGGGAAAGGCGAAAAGAACCCCUGUGAGGGGAGUGAAAUAGAACCUGAAACCGUGUACGUACAAGCAGUAGGAGCCCUUCGAGGGUGACUGCGUACCUUUUGUAUAAUGGGUCAGCGACUUAUAUUUUGUAGCGAGGUUAACCGAUUAGGGUAGCCGUAGGGAAACCGAGUCUUAACUGGGCGUAUAGUUGCAAGGUAUAGACCCGAAACCCGGUGAUCUAGCCAUGGGCAGGUUGAAGGUUGAGUAACAUCAACUGGAGGACCGAACCCACUAACGUUGAAAAGUUAGGGGAUGACCUGUGGCUAGGAGUGAAAGGCUAAUCAAACCGGGAGAUAGCUGGUUCUCCCCGAAAUCUAUUUAGGUAGAGCCUCGGACGAAUACUUACGGGGGUAGAGCACUGUUAAGGCUAGGGGGUCAUCCCGACUUACCAACCCUUUGCAAACUCCGAAUACCGUAAAGUACUAUCCGGGAGACACACGGCGGGUGCUAACGUCCGUCGUGAAGAGGGAAACAACCCAGACCGCCAGCUAAGGUCCCAAAGUCAUAGUUAAGUGGGAAACGAUGUGGAAAGGCCCAGACAGCCAGGAGGUUGGCUUAGAAGCAGCCAUCCUUUAAAGAAAGCGUAAUAGCUCACUGGUCGAGUCGGUCUGCGCGGAAGAUGUAACGGGGCUAAACUAUGCACCGAAGCUGCGGAUUCAAACUUUGUUUGAGUGGUAGGGGAGCGUUCUGUAAGCCGUUGAAGGUGUACCGGGAGGUUUGCUGGAGGUAUCAGAAGUGCGAAUGCUGACAUGAGUAACGAUAAUGCGGGUGAAAAACCCGCACGCCGGAAGACCAAGGGUUCCUAUCCCAUGUUAAUCAGGGUAGGGUAAGUCGACCCCUAAGGCGAGGCCGAAAGGCGUAGUCGAUGGGAAACGGGUUAAUAUUCCCGUACUUGGUAUAAUUGCGAUGGGGGGACGGAGCAGGCUAAACAAGCAUGGCGUUGGUUGUCCAUGUGAAAGUGAGUAGGUUGGUGACUUAGGAAAAUCCGGGUUGCUAAGACUGAGACACGAGACGAGCCACUAAGGUG